GAAGGUAUUGCUUAGUGAUAGAGCGCAUGCUUAGCGUGCAUAAGGUCCUGGGUUCAAUCCCCAGUACCUCCA
rnacentral:tRNA from 1 species